AUCAACAACAUCCAUAAGUUUUACAACAGAUGGAUCUUCUAGCUCAAGCAGUGAUUCCACAACAUCCACAGCUUCUUCAGCUAACGGACCUCCUAGUACAAACACUGAAUCAACGACAUCCAUAAGUUUUACAAGUA